rnacentral:sRNA from 1 species
UCCGUGCUGAUGUGGUAGUUGCCUCUUU